CGCAGCCGCGGUAAUUCCAGCUCCAAUAGCGUAUAUUAAAGUUGUUGCAGUUAAAAAGCUCGUAGUUGAAUUUCGGGGUUAGUAAGUUGGUCAUGCCUCCGGUAUGUACUGGCUUUACUGAUUCCUCCUUCUUGAUGAACUGUAAUGUCAUUAAUUUGGUGUUGCAGGGAAUCAGGACUGUUACUUUGAAAAAUUAGAGUGUUUAAAGCAGGCAUACGCUUGAAUACAUUAGUAUGGAAUAAUGAAAUAGGACGUUUGAUCCUAUUUUGUUGGUUUCUAGGAUUGACGUAAUGAUUAAUAGGGAUAGUUGGGGGCAUUAGUAUUCAAUUGUCAGAGGUGAAAUUCUUGGAUUUAUUGAAGACUAACUACUGCGAAAGCAUUUGCCAAGGAUGUUUUCAUUAAUCAAGAACGAAAGUUAGGGGAUCGAAGACGAUCAGAUACCGUCGUAGUCUUAACCAUAAACUAUGCCGACUAGGGAUCGGAUGAUGUUAUUUUUAAUGACUCAUUCGGCGCCUUACG
rnacentral:rRNA from 1 species